rnacentral:lncRNA from 1 species
CAAUAAGGCUGAGGUCUUUGACCACUGAGUACUCUGUCCAGCGAUCUGCAGGUUUCACAAAUCAAGUCCCUUCCGGUGGAUUAUAAUCAUACUGAUCUCAUGACCUUAGUAAACUAGAGGGCUGCAAUCAAAGGGGAGAAGAACGGAGAUUGCUUACUGAGAGGAUCUGAUGCAAGCACAGGUUUGGGGAUGUCUGUCGGGACACCAGGGCCAUAUUCAUUGACAGCAGUUACUCGGAAGAAAUACUCGUUCCCAGGGACAAGGUUGUUUACGGCUGUGAUAGAAUAUAAGCCAGUGUCACUCCGGCGAGACUGAGGAAUGACUAAAGUGCAAGUGUCAUCCACCACCUGUUUGUUGACAUGGGUGUCAUAAACAACAGGCUCUUUGCUGUCGGGUUUCUUUGGCGGAGCCUUGAACCAGGAACGUUUUCAAUGGUGAUUCUCUGGUCUGGCUUCAGAAGGGUGUCAGCCUUGGUCCAAGUUAUUUUCGGUUCCGGUUUUCCAGUCACCGUGGCGGGAAGUUCGAUCUUCGUUCCAGCUUUCACAGUGAUCCCAGCCAGGAGCUUCACAUCCAGGAAGAUCUCAGGGGCCUCUGAGUUGGAAAAGAUUAGUUACACUGUGAGCAAGUUCAAACAGACGAGGUCAGAGACCUAACGGCCAAGCAGCAAGGAAUGAUAAAUACCCUGUGUGUCC